rnacentral:rRNA from 1 species
UACGUAUGGGGCGAGCGUUGUUCGGAAUUAUUGGGUGUAAAGGGCGUCUAGGCGGGAAAUUAAGUUAUAUGUGAAAGGCGUGGGCUCAACCCACGAAUUGCAUCUAAAACUGGUUUUCUUGAGUUCGGGAGAGGAGAGCGGAAUUCUUGGUGUAGCGGUGAAAUGCGUAGAUAUCAAGAAGAACACCGGUGGCGAAGGCGGGUCUCUGGGUAGUAACUGACGCUGAGGAGCGAAAGCAUGGGUAGCGAACAGGAUUAGAUACCCGUGUAGUCCCUGAGCGGG